rnacentral:rRNA from 1 species
CUUGCAAACUAAAGAUGGCGACCGGCGCACGGGUGAGUAACACGUAUCCAACCUGCCGAUAACUCGGGGAUAGCCUUUCGAAAGAAAGAUUAAUAUCCGAUAGUAUAUUAAGACCGCAUGGUUUUACUAUUAAAGAAUUUCGGUUAUCGAUGGGGAUGCGUUCCAUUAGUUUGUUGGCGGGGUAACGGCCCACCAAGACUACGAUGGAUAGGGGUUCUGAGAGGAAGGUCCCCCACAUUGGAACUGAGACACGGUCCAA